GGUUAAAAAUUUCAUUCGUUUUUUCUAUUAGAAACCGACAUGAUCAACAGAAUAACUAAAAAAUUACAAACGGUAUGCCAUUAACGUAUGAAGAUCAAUUUUUAUGAGUAGAAAUUGAUGGAAUUUUUACCA
rnacentral:pre_miRNA from 1 species